rnacentral:tRNA from 1 species
UUAAAGAUAAGCUAUAUUACAAGCUAUUGGGCUCAUAACUCAAAUAAGAACUUUUUCUCUUUAAA